AUGGAGAACCACUACGAGGAGUUCGAGGUUGAAUCCGGGGGCUCCGACUUGGAGCUCGGGCGUGAUGGGGUGGCUGAUAAGGAUAACAACCACAAGGUUGUGGAGAUUAAGCCGUUAGCUGCCGUCAGGAUGUCCCUGUCCAAAGAUGACUUAAGCACCAUGACUACAAACGAUGUUGAUGGUUCUGCACAAAGGUCAGUAAAGAGGAAGAGUAAGAACCAAUUCAUGGGUAUCCGGCAGCGCUCCCGGGCUAGGUGGGGUGCGGAAAUUAGAGAUCCUAUCAAGGGUGUCCGUCUCUGGCUUGGUACUUUCAACAGUGCUGAAGAAGUUGCACGAGCUUAUGAUGUUGAAGCACGCAGGAUCCAUGGCAAGAAGGCCAAGAUUAACUUUCCAGAGGAACCAAAACUUCCUUAG
rnacentral:rRNA from 1 species